AACGCUGGCGGCGUGCCUCAUCCAUGCAAGUCGAGCGAACAGACGAGGAGCUUGCUCCUCUGACGUUAGCGGCGGACGGGUGAGUAACACGUGGAUAACCUACCUAUAAGACUGGGAUAACUUCGGGAAACCGGAGCUAAUACCGGAUAAUAUAUUGAACCGCAUGGUUCAAUAGUGAAAGACGGUUUUGCUGUCACUUAUAGAUGGAUCCGCGCCGCAUUAGCUAGUUGGUAAGGUAACGGCUUACCAAGGCAACGAUGCGUAGCCGACCUGAGAGGGUGAUCGGCCACACUGGAACUGAGACACGGUCCAGACUCCUACGGGAGGCAGCAGUAGGGAAUCUUCCGCAAUGGGCGAAAGCCUGACGGAGCAACGCCGCGUGAGUGAUGAAGGUCUUCGGAUCGUAAAACUCUGUUAUUAGGGAAGAACAAAUGUGUAAGUAACUAUGCACGUCUUGACGGUACCUAAUCAGAAAGCCACGGCUAACUACGUG
rnacentral:rRNA from 1 species